AAACAGGAACUGGUCAGCGUACAGUGGAUCUGCGAGUUAUUGUAAUACCAGCUGAAUGUUUCUUUGCCGUGUGCUGGCUCACUUUACAGAUUUCUGCUUUCUGGAAGAAGAACAGAAACGGAUUAAGAAAGGAUAUAAAGAGCCUGCGAGAAUGUCGUGGAUGUAAACAGAAACAGAAGGACUUAAACUCACAUCAACCUGAUAAUGAACAUGAACUCCAGAAUCUACAGAAUACUGUACCUGAGCUCUCAGGGUCUUAGCAGGUAAGAUACUUCUUACAUGCUUUCAUUCUACACUAAUUAUUUAAUGUCUAUACAGUACAAAGUGCUAAAAUUUACACAACUGUUACCUAUACAACAGUAAACCUGCUCUCCAGUUGAUUUAUUUAGACUCAGGAUGUUCAGCUGUAUACAGUCCCUUAAUGCACUAAUAAUAAAGUUAAUAAAGUAAUAGUUCAUUCAUCGUAUUACAUUUAGCAGCAUGUAUUUACCUGUUAAUCUGUACGCAAAAAAGUUCCAUUCUGAAGCAGAUCUACAUUUAUGCAUAAAAUCCACAAAGCCAGAAGAUGACAAAGUACAUUUACCUUUCGUUCUUGAUCUUCUGACUUUCUGGAGUUAUUUUUUUCAUCAGAGUGACUGAAAUCCCCACAGCACCCUCUAGUGUGAGGUGAUUAGACUGCGCAACCAUGAGCACAAAAAGGUCUCGCGUCUUUAAAAAAAAAUAAGUUAAUGAGAAAGAACUUCUUUAAUGUGUAAAACAAACCCAAACCAUCAUGCUUCCACCAUCAUGCUUCCACCACCAUGCUUCACAGUUGGGCUAAUGUGUCAUUCUGGUGCCUGAAGGUCAAAUUUGGGGUUUUUUUUAACUCUGGGCAUUAAAUGGUCUGACCUUGGACUGUUUAUGCUGAGACUCUUAUUCCAAUCCACAAACCUUCUUAAUGUAAUAUGAUAGAUUUCAGCUAGUGUGGAGACGGCCUUAUAACCCUUCCUGAUCAAUCUCUUCAGAUCACUUCUCUGAGGUUGUGGUUGGUUUCAUGUUUUUUUGGCAUAAUGUAGAAACAUUAUGAGUGUUUCAGAAAAACAAACUGCCAGAGUCUGCUUUUAUAAACAUACUUACACUUUCUGAUCAUAAACAACCCACAACAUGGAUUGUUUAAAAAGUGUUUGUAAUGUGAUAUAUGUAAUGUGUGCGUGUGUUUGUGCACCUUAUGUGAAUUUCUCCAAUUUGCUUCUCCUGUGGAAUAUUAUGACUGAAUUUAAUGAAAUGUUUUUAAAUGCAUUUCAUAUUUUUCAUACAGAGAAUUUUCAUACUAUUAGAAAACCUUAUAUAAAGAUCCAGGGAGAACAAAGUUGUCUAUUUAAUUAGAGUUUAGUUUUAUAUACAGUGUACACAUGUAAACAGAAUAUUUUCACUCAAUAGUGAAUCUAAAUAUAUUUUUCUGUAACUGUGUUGAGAAUAAAUAUAAUUCUGUAUGAGAUCAGAAAAGUUUAUUUAUUGUUUUUUUUUUGGUUCUUUUGCAUUUAAAGACUUGCAGGUGAGAGGAAACUCUGCCUGCUGCAUGUUUACAACAUUGUGAAAGAUCUGACUGUACAUGUGUAUGAUUGUGUUGUACGUUGUCUGUUUUUGCCUUUUUAUUGUUCUAAUUUAUUAAGUACUGCGUUUGUAUUAUAUUCAGUCUGCAUGUAACUGCAGAGCUUCAAACUUUACUACAGUAUUAAUGUCAAGAAGCUAUUAAUAUAUUGUGUGUUGGACAAAAUAAAUAAAAUCCAUUCUUUCUUCAUUGAUUAUAUUUAUUGCAGAUGUUUUUAAGCAACACCUCUAACAUUCUGAAGUGAGCAUUAGAUUUGACACAGAACACAAUCUUCUAUAAAGAAUUAACUACAUACGUCACUGACGACUCUGAAACGAUCUCACAUCCAAAACUGAGCCUCUUCCUACAUAAAUUAACACAAAAUAGCAAACUGAUAGC